rnacentral:rRNA from 1 species
GACGAACGCUGGCGGCGUGCCUAAUACAUGCAAGUCGAACGCUGAAGAGAGGAGCUUGCUCUUCUUGGAUGAGUUGCGAACGGGUGAGUAACGCGUAGGUAACCUGCCUUGUAGCGGGGGAUAACUAUUGGAAACGAUAGCUAAUACCGCAUAACAAUGGAUGACACAUGUCAUUUAUUUGCAAGGGGCAAUUGCUCCACUACAAGAUGGACCUGCGUUGUAUUAGCUAGUAGGUGAGGUAAUGGCCCACCUAGGCGACGAUACAUAGCCGACCUGAGAGGGUGGUCGGCCACCCUGGGACUGAGACACGGCCCAGACUCCUUCGGGAGGCAGCCGUAGGGGAUCUUUGGCAAUGGGGGCAACCCUGACCGAGCAACGCCGCGUGAGUGAAGAAGGUUUUCGGAUCGUAAAGCUCUGUUGUAAGUCAAGAACGGGUGUGAGAGUGGAAAGUUCACACUGUGACGGUAGCUUACCAGAAAGAGACGGCUAACUACGUG